CAUCUUAAACGUGCCGUGCAGGAAUAGGACACACAGUUUAAAUCUUUUGUUGUUGCUUAGUCUGCAUCAUAUGAUUUAUUGUUCGAGAGGUAGGAACUUUCUGUUGCCCACAAAGAAGAAGGAGCUUCGAGGAGGCGUAGGGAUCUUUUCUUUGUGAGAAGAAGAGGAAGGAAGGAGCUUAAAAGCCUCCUUCUUUAGGGUUAGGUUUCUCGAAUGGAUGGCGGUGGCAAGAGGAGGGAGAGGAGCGUCUUAAAAUUCUCCUUCUUUGGGUGUUAGGUUUGCCGGAUAGCGGUUCUUUCACUCUCCUUUGCGUCUAUGUAUAACGAAGGUGGACGCACUCUCCUACUAGGGCAAGUAUGUCGUCUCCUCAAGGUUCAACUAGAUCGGCACGAUCGGGAGCUCGCCUUCAGGUAGCUACCGCUACUACCUUCGCGUACCGCCGUGCGGCUCCUGGCUGCGGCCGCCCUCGUCCCACCUCAGGCUCGUCUCCUUCGAUGCCGCGCAGCUCGAGGGGAGUACCAGGACGGGAGGGUUGGCCGGAGGCCCGUGGACUCGACUCGGACGAGACACAAGAACAGAAGACGAAUGAGGAGAGAGAGCUAAACGGAGAAACUAAACACAAGGAUGCUGAGCAUCAGACUCCCUCGUUCGAUGCUAGGAACACGGGAAGAGGAAGAACACAGACUAGGACAGGAGGACGCCGCGUUGCUGUGCCGAAACGAGGGGUUCCCAGAGCGGUAAAGACUCCGCUAACUGGAACCCUCUUCCAGAAAAAACUGGACAGACCUGGUGGCACAAGAACCCUUGGUCCGGCAGCCAGAGCGACAACAAAGGAAGGACAACCGGAGGCAACAGACGCGAGCGUCAAUGUGUCCAGUUAUAUAAGAACCCUUUGACCCCGCAAGAACGAAACGUCGGAGGACGAGGACAGAACAGCAACAGCGCUUCUAGACACUGUAAGCCCUGUUGUUCAUAUGAGCCAAGAACCGGGACCACGGACAUUUUUAGGAACAAAGCGUCCGCAGUUCGAACAGAGGGGGCACCGUCAAGUUCUUUGGUAUAAGACUGGGUCGACGCGUAAAGUGGAGCUGCCAAAGAGAGAUUCGAAGUAGGUCAUGCGAGAGCUAGAGUGCAGGAAACCGGAACACCCUGCUCUACUUGAGACCGGGGAAGUCGCCGCGCCACCCCGAGAUGCUACCCAAAAUGCCACCAAAGCCGCCGCCCGUACCUGUACUUGUACCGAAACCGGUCGUAGACCCUCGCAGCUGCAGCAGCAGCCAGGACGACCUACCGCCCUGCCCCCUCGACCGGCGUCGGCGGCGGCGCCUGCACGGCUUCUCCUUCCCCCCUCGCGCCCUCCUCUUUCGCCGCUGCCGGGAAUCCUCGGUGUCGCUUCGCCUCGCCGCCGCCUCCCUCUCCUAGUUGCGCGUGGAGCGGUGCGAGGCCUCGUACCAGGGGACGUGGCCGUUCCAGUCACGGAAGAGGAGGAGCAACUCAGCGAUUAAAGACAUAGAAAGAAAGAAAGAAGAAGAGGGUCACUUAAUAAGGUGGCAACGUUAUGCGCUCAAAACCUUAUCAGGUCCCCCUUGGUUAUUUUUUGUUAUCAAUGCGUGCAGUGCGAUAAAAAAAGAAGUCUUUUACUACAAUAAUUUCGCAGUUCUACUACGUUUUACUAUUUAAGCCAGACCUUAUUGUCUACUGUUCAGUACCUCGUAUGUAUGAUGCAUCACUUGUGUGUGGUUAUCGCGACAGCGGGGCCGUCGUGAACUCGCAUUCCCUAUCCCUCCGGCGCUCGGGCACCUUAUGGUGGGACUACAAAAUAUUGUAGUCCCAAUUACCUUAUGACUCUAGUUAUGUCAAGUAGAAGAACGGACGCCUUAUGGUGGGGUAAGGUUACAAAAUAUUGUAGCCCAAUUAUCUUAUGAGUAUAGUUGUAUACCACGUAGAAAAAAAAGCCUUCGAGUAGAGCUUUCUUGGAGGUCCAAUUCGCACAAAUCGGACUCCAUUAAACUCCUACCCACUUACUGAACCUACAACCGUGUUAACACGGCUUUUCCGAUCAUCAUCGGUCUGUACCACCAUAAUAUGGACCAUCAAUCGAGCCCC
rnacentral:rRNA from 1 species